rnacentral:lncRNA from 1 species
ACAAGCUCGAGGCUUGGCCCACACAGCCUGCAGAACUAGGGAGCGCGGAAGACACCAUCUCACGGACACAGAAGGGGCCCUGGGCCCAGAGAAGACCUUCGCACACUGCAAGAGUAAUGAAAGCCUGAAGCAUCCAGGGCCUCCCUGGAGCAGCAGAGGGGAGCUCAGACGCCGCGAUGAGAUUCUGGGAAGUGAAAUGGGCUCAAGAUCUCGACCACUAGAGAGCUCUCCAAGCAUGCCCUACCAGGACCUUUGUCACUGGUGAACUGUUUCCUCCCCAAGAUUCUUUCCAGCUGAGCUAAGAGAUUUCUGGAGCCUCUCGCCAUGGUCUCUCUGUGAAGCUGGCGAGGUUCUCUGAUGAUGUUCAGUGGCUAUGGUGGAAUGUGCAGGUGAAAGUAACACUUUCACGGCUACAGAUCUUCCUUAGCAGAGCUGUGGAGUGUGACAAUGGUGUUUGUGUCCAAACUAUCAAACGCCAUUAUCACACUAAAUAGCUACUGUUAGGCAAUCCUUCCGCUCACUAAAUGCCUUGGCAUCUGUUUGGUAUGGGCAAGAAGGUUCAUCUUAUAGCAGUGCUCCUGGUCCUGGGUAAUUACUGAGGACAUUCUGGUCCUUUAGUGCUCAUAUCCAAUAUGUCAUCUGAACGUUGCUUCUCACACUCUUGUUAAAUAACUUAGCUGAUGAUGAAUGUUCUUGUUUUCCUGAGUCAAUAAAAAGAUUGCAGUGUUCCCCAAGCAACCGGCACAAGGCUAGGCACAUGGUAAUUAAUUGUUCAACCUAUGCUCAAGCUGAAGGGAAUAGUUAGGAAAGUGUUAGUUGUGGAAAACUAAAACCAGAUGCAAUCUAGGUUUUGCAAAUCAUGUGCUUAUAGGUAAAAAGUUAUGGUACGUGGGUCUUCUACUUUUCAUCAUAAAAAGACAACUUUCUAAUAAACGUAUACAUGGCCUAAGGGACCUUC